GCUUACGGCCAUACCACCCUGAACACGCCCGAUCUCGUCAAGCUAAGCAGGGUCGGGCCUGGUUAGUACUUGGAUGGGAGACGCCUGGGAAUACCAGGUGCUGUAAGCU
rnacentral:rRNA from 1 species